rnacentral:rRNA from 1 species
AAUAGAUACCCCAGGUAGUCCACGCCGUAAACGAUGGAUGCUAGCUGUUAUGAGUAUCGACCCUUGUAGUAGCGAAGCUAACGCGUUAAGCAUCCCGCCUGUGGAGUACGAGCGCAAAGCUUAAAACAUAAAGGAAUUGACGGGGACCCGCACAAGCGGUGGAGCGUGUUGUUUAAUUCGAUGAUAAGCGAAGAACCUUACCAAGGCUUGACAUCCCUGGAAUUUCUCCGAAAGGAGAGAGUGCCUUCGGGAAUCAGGUGACAGGUGAUGCAUGGCCGUCGUCAGCUCGUGUCGUGAGAUGUUUGGUUAAGUCCAUCAACGAGCGCAACCCUUGUAAAUAGUUGAAUUUUUCUAUUUAGACUGCCUCGGUAACGGGGAGGAAGGAGGGGAUGAUGUCAGGUCAGUAUUUCCCUUACGCCUUGGGCUACAAACCACGCUACAAUGGCCGGUACAAAGGGCAGCCAACCCGCGAGGGGGAGCGAAAAUCCCAUCAAAACCCGGUCUCAGUUCGGAUAGCAGGCUGAAAUUCGCCUGCUUGAAGCCGG